rnacentral:rRNA from 1 species
GACGAACGCUGGCGGCGUGCUUAACACAUGCAAGUCGAACGGAAAGGCCCUGCUUUUGUGGGGUGCUCGAGUGGCGAACGGGUGAGUAACACGUGAGUAACCUGCCCUUGACUUUGGGAUAACUUCAGGAAACUGGGGCUAAUACCGGAUAGGAGCUCCUGCUGCAUGGUGGGGGUUGGAAAGUUUCGGCGGUUGGGGAUGGACUCGCGGCUUAUCAGCUUGUUGGUGGGGUAGUGGCUUACCAAGGCUUUGACGGGUAGCCGGCCUGAGAGGGUGACCGGCCACAUUGGGACUGAGAUACGGCCCAGACUCCUACGGGAGGCAGCAGUGGGGAAUAUUGCACAGUGGGCGGAAGCCUGAUGCAGCAACGCCGCGUGCGGGUUGACGGCCUUCGGGUUGUAAACCGCUUUCGCCUGUGACGAAGCGUGAGUGACGGUAAUGGGUAAAGAAGCACCGGCUAACUACGUG